rnacentral:tRNA from 1 species
AUCCAGUUCUGCCUCUCCGCGCCGAAGACGGACA